rnacentral:piRNA from 1 species
AUGCUUUGCUUUAAAGGUAAUUGC